CCCCUACACAACUCCCAGAAACAAAACCGCCUAACUUCGUGGCUCCAGUGGAAUCUCUCAGGUGAGUCCAGCCCAAGAUUCUGACUCACAGAAGAUUUGAUGUCAUGAAGUGGAAAUGGCCAAAGAUCCAGUAAGAAUGAUGUAAAGUCCAAUUAUCAUGCAAAGACAUUCUGGAGAAUUGCAAAGUGAGUGAAGCCAGAAGAGGAGCACUUCAAAAGCCCUUUGGAGACACGGAAUCACAGCUCUGUGAGGGCCAGAGCUAUGGAAAUCGGAGGAAAUUGGACUUCACCGUGUUGGUGGCACACCCUGCCACCCUUGCCAGGAAAGGAAACGGGAAAAGGAAUCUGAGAAACCUCAGGACAAUUACAGUUCAUUUCCAUACCCUGACUGACAAUGUACUACCUCCUGCUACGGACCGACGUAAGCCUCUUGUCACACCAAG
rnacentral:lncRNA from 1 species